rnacentral:rRNA from 1 species
GGGGCGUAGAGCGCGGCCCCCCCCCUGCCUGAGAUACGGCAGAUCCUACGGGAGGCAGCAGUCGGGGUAUGCGCAAUGGGCGAAAGCUAGACGCAGCGACCCGCGUGGGCGAUGAAGGUCUUCGGAUGUAAGCCCUUUUCUGGGGACGAGCAAGGACGGUACCCCAGGAAUAAGUCCUGGCUAACUACGUGCCAGCAGCCGCGGUAACACGUAGGGGACAAGCGUUAUCCGGAUUUACUGGGCGUAAAGAGCGUUGAGGCGGUUCUGUAAGUUGGGCGUGAAAGCCCCGGGAUUAACUCGGGGAUGUCGUUCAAUACUGCAGGGCUUGAGGGCAGCAGAGGGAGGUGGAAUUCCCGGUGGAGCGGUGAAAUGCGCAGAUAUCGGGAGGAACACCAGUGGCGAAGGCGGCCUCCUGGGCUGUUCCUGACGCUGAAGGCGAAAGCUAGGGGAGCAAGCGGGAUUAGAGACCCCGGUAGUCCUAGCUAUAAACGAUGGAUGCUAGGUGUGGAAGGUAUAGAAUCCUGCCGUGCCAAAGCUAACGCGUUAAGCAUCCCGCCUGGGGACUACGGCCGCAAGGCUAAAACUCAAACGAAUUGACGGGGGCCCGCACAAGCAGCGGAGCGUGUGGUUUAAUUCGAUGCUACACGAAGAACCUUACCUGGGUUUGACAUGCAGGUAGUAGUGAAGCGAAAGCAGAACGACCCUUCGGGGAGCCUGCACAGGUGCUGCAUGGCUGUCGUCAGCUCGUGCCGUGAGGUGUCGGGUUAAGUCCCGUAACGAGCGCAACCCUUACCCUUAGUUACAAGUGUCUAAGGGGACUGCCCGGGACAACUGGGAGGAAGGUGGGGAUGACGUCAAGUCAGCAUGGCCUUUAUAUCCAGGGCCACACACACGCUACAAUGGCCGGUACAAUGGGUUGCCAAGCCGCGAGGCGGAGCCAAUCCCACAAAGCCGGUCUCAGUUCGGAUUGCAGGCUGCAACUCGCCUGCAUGAAGUUGGAGUUGCUAGUAACCGCGCGUCAGCUAUAGUGCGGUGAAUACGUUCCCGGGCCUUGUACACACCGCCCGUCACGUCAUGGAAGCUGGCAACACCUGAAGCCGGUGGGCCAACCCGAAAGGGAGGCAGCCGUCGAAGGUGAGGCUGAUAACUGGGACGAAGUCGUAACAAGGUAGCCGUA